GACGAACGCUGGCGGCGUGCUUAACACAUGCAAGUCGAACGGAAAGGCCCUGCUUUUGUGGGGUGCUCGAGUGGCGAACGGGUGAGUAACACGUGAGUAACCUGCCCUUGACUUUGGGAUAACUUCAGGAAACUGGGGCUAAUACCGGAUAGGAGCUCCUGCUGCAUGGUGGGGGUUGGAAAGUUUCGGCGGUUGGGGAUGGACCCGCGGCUUAUCAGCUUGUUGGUGGGGUAGUGGCUUACCAAGGCUUUGACGGGUAGCCGGCCUGAGAGGGUGACCGGCCACAUUGGGACUGAGAUACGGCCCAGACUCCUACGGGAGGCAGCAGUGGGGAAUAUUGCACAAUGGGCGGAAGCCUGAUGCAGCAACGCCGCGUGCGGGAUGACGGCCUUCGGGUUGUAAACCGCUUUCGCCUGUGACGAAGCGUGAGUGACGGUAAUGGGUAAAGAAGCACCAGCUAACUACGUG
rnacentral:rRNA from 1 species